AAGACUAUACUUUCGAGGAUCAUUUCUAUAGUUUGUUACCGGAGAAUGCCUCUGAAUGUACAGAACACCCAAAACCACGAGGAGGAAGUACAGUGUCCUCUCCUGAGUGUGAAACCCGCCCUUUGGGAGAGUAAGAGGGAGAAGACGCAGUCUGAGUGGU
rfam:Myotis lucifugus cont2.38008, whole genome shotgun sequence.